AUCAAGGGAGUAGCCGACGAUUGUUAUCUUGUUUUUGUGAGAUAUUACAGUCGUGAUUAUGUCGUCAUUUCGAAACAGUUGUUUCCGGCAUAGUCUUAAUUUGCGAGACUUGUUUAAAAAAUAAACAGGUCUUUUUCU
rnacentral:ncRNA from 1 species